rnacentral:rRNA from 1 species
AGAGGGUGCUAGCUUGCUAGAACUUAGAGACAGGUGCUGCACGGCUGUCGUCAGCUCGUGUCGUGAGAUGUUGGGUUAAGUCCCGCAACGAGCGCAACCCACGUAUUUAGUUGCUAACGGUUCGGCCGAGCACUCUAAAUAGACUGCCUUCGUAAGGAGGAGGAAGGUGUGGACGACGUCAAGUCAUCAUGGCCCUUAUGCCCAGGGCGACACACGUGCUACAAUGGCAUAUACAAUGAGACGCAAUACCGCGAGGUGGAGCAAAUCUAUAAAAUAUGUCCCAGUUCGGAUUGUUCUCUGCAACUCGAGAGCAUGAAGCCGGAAUCGCUAGUAAUCGUAGAUCAGCCAUGCUACGGUGAAUACGUUCCCGGGUCUUGUACUCACCGCCCGUCACACCAUGGGAGUUGAUUUCACUCGAAGCCGGAAUACUAAACUAGUUACCGUCCACAGUGGAAUCAGCGACUGGGGUGAAGUCGUAACAAGGUAACCGUAGGAGAACCUGCGGUUGGAUCACCUCCUUUCUAG